GAUGAACGCUGGCGGCGUGCCUAAUACAUGCAAGUCGAGCGAACAGACGAGGAGCUUGCUCCUCUGACGUUAGCGGCGGACGGGUGAGUAACACGUGGAUAACCUACCUAUAAGACUGGGAUAACUUCGGGAAACCGGAGCUAAUACCAGAUAAUAUAUUGAACCGCAUGGUUCAAUAGUGAAAGACGGUUUUGCUGUCACUUAUAGAUGGAUCCGCGCCGCAUUAGCUAGUUGGUAAGGUAACGGCUUACCAAGGCAACGAUGCGUAGCCGACCAGAGAGGGUGAUCGGCCACACUGGAACUGAGACACGGUCCAGACUCCUACGGGAGGCAGCAGUAGGGAAUCUUCCGCAAAGGGCGAAAGCUUGACGGAGCAACGCCGCGUGAGUGAUGAAGGUCUUCGGAUCGUAAAACUCUGUUAUUAGGGAAGAACAAAUGUGUAAGUAACUAUGCACGUCUUGACGGUACCUAAUCAGAAAGCCACGGCUAACUACGUG
rnacentral:rRNA from 1 species